rnacentral:lncRNA from 1 species
CAAGAAGUCUAGGGGGCAAGUUUGUUUUUGAAAUGAUCGAGCUUUGUCUGUCGCGAACGAAUCGGCCCUGUCGUAAGUUGUUUCUAAAGCAAGUGGUCAUUCAUGGUAGAGGUUAAGUUUACUUAAGUUUUAUUUUGAAAUCAGGAUUAUAGGUUCAUGGCUUCCAACAGAUUCAAGAAUCUGUUGUUAAUUACUCCACACUUUCAGUGUUAAGAAACCCUCGAUUAAGAGACCGAAUAUAAAUGCUGAUAAAAGAAACCAAGCAGGCAAAUAAAAUUUUAUUCAUAUGAUUUGCCGGGUACAUGGCUUAAGCAGGGGCAUACCCCCACUGUACAUGAAUUUUAUAGAAUUAAAUACGCAGUUUAUAGACUUGGUGGUCGAUUGGGAUCAAGUUGAGAUACUCAAUUUAGCGACAUAACGGUCGAUUGGGAUCAAACUGAGAUGCUCAGUUUAGCGACAUGACGGUCGAUUUCAAAUUGAGUUGCUCAGUUUAAUGACAUGGCGGUCGAUUGGGAUCAAAUUAAGAUGCUCAGUUUAGCGACAUGGUGGUCGAUUUUGAAUUGAGUUGCUCAGUUUAUCGACAUGGCUGUCGAUUUCAAAUUGAGUUGCUCAGUUUAAUAACAUGGCGGUCGAUUUGAGUUUUGAUGCUCAGUUUAGUGACAUGGCGGUCGAUUGAAGUUGAGGUGCUCAGUUUAGCGACAUGGCGGUCGAUUUGAGUUUUGGUGCUCAGUUUAAUGACAUGGCGGUCGAAUGUUCAGUUUAAUGACUUAUCAGUCAUUUGUUCAGUUUAACGACUUGACGGUCAAAUCUGAACUUCGUUUGCUCAGUUUAGCGACUUGGCGGUCGAUUGAAAUUGAGUUGCUCAGUUUAGCGACAUGGCAGUCGACUUUAAAUUGAGUUGCUCAGUUUAGCUACAUGGCGGUCGAUUUUAAAUUGGAUUACUCAGUUUAGCGACAUGACGGUCGGGUUCAAUUUUAGUGCUCAGUUUAAUGACAUGGCAGUCGGAUAUUCAGUUUAACGACUUGAUGGUCAAAUACUCAGUUUAACGACUUGACGAUCGUAUCGGAAUUUGAUUUGCUCAGUUUAGCAACUUAGCGGUUGAUUUCAAAUUGAGUUGCUCAGUUUAGCGACAUGGUGGUCAGCUUGAAUUGAGUUACUCAGUUUAGCGACAUGGCGAUCGAUUUAAAAUUGAGUUGCUCAGUUUAGUGACAUGGCGAUCGGGUUGAAUUUUGGUGCUCAGUUUAAUGACAUGGCGGUCGGUUUUGGAUUCAAUCUCAUGAAAUUGGUUCAUGAAAUUAAUUCAUGCUAAAAGCCCAUUUAUAAAGUCCAUUGAAUUAAUUGAUGAAAUUAAUUCAUGAUAGGGGGCCAUUUAGAGAGCCCAUUGAAUUAAUUUAUAAUAAAGGGCCAUUUGGAGGGCCCAUUAGUUCAUGAAAUUAAUUUAUGAUAAGGAGGGCCCAUGAAAUUAAUUCAUAGAAUUAAUUUGUGAUGAGGGGCCUAUUUGGCAAACCCAUGAAAUUAAUUUGUAAAAUUAAUUCAUGAUAAGAGAUCCAGUUGGAAAGCCCAAGAAAUUAAUUCUUAGAAUUAAUUCAUACUAAGGAGCCCAUUUGGCAAGCCCAAGAACUCGGUUUGGGACAUAGGUUUGGUAGAUUUGGUUGGGUGUUAUUUAUGGACUUUGGAUUUUGGAUCUUUGGAUUUUGGGAUUUGGACCUUAUUUGUGGACUUUGGGUUUUGGGAUUUUAUUUGUGGACUUUGGGUUUAGGAUUUUAUUUGUGGACUUUGGGUUUUGGGAUUUUGUUUGUGGACUUUGAGUUUUGAGAUUUUAUUUGUGGAUUUUGAGUUUUUGGUUAAGAAAUGAAUUUUUAUUUGUUCUGGGCCCACAU